UGAGAUGGAUUAUUUCUAAAACGACUUUGAUCCUUGUUGGGUUUAUAAACUGGGUGAUACAAGUGUUAACAUUCCAAAAACUAGGUACUGAUCCAUCACCUUCAGUUACACAGCAGCACCGUGCUCAUGCGCGCUCUUAUUUUGAAAAUGGCAACUUCCGGUCGCAGAAUAUGAAUUUGCAGUGAGCACCAUGCUGAGCGCUAACUAACAGUUAAAUCAUUGUUUUUCUCAGUACUUUCUGCCAUUGUUAACGCUACACCAAAUGAUUAACCAGUCUAACUAAUUGAUGAUAAAAAAAAUACCCGUUAAUAGCCUAAUAUGAGUGUAUUUAGGUUAGUUAGGCCUAAUCAAACUCCUACCAAAUUCGUAGCUAGCUAGCUGGUUACCACUGGCAACCGUCUCCAGACUAAGAGCCGUGGAGAGGACUGUUUUGUUUUGGGGGGAUGAACCUGAACUGGCAACCUUAGAGUCUCCCCCUGACUCUGUGUAGCUGCUGCUUCAUGCAUCUUUAAAAGAUGAGAGGGAGGCUCCACUUUCUCACGCCAUGUAUGACGAGGAGGGAGAAAGCACGAGGCAGAUGAAGGAGAAACAGUAGGUGCCUAACCCACAUACGGUAUACACACGCACACACUCUACUACAAUAUCUUAUAUAAAACAUCCUUUGUCUCUUUUUUUUUUACUUGGUGUCGUGAGGUAUUCCCCAAAUCCUCUGCAUUUCGUGCCGCUCUCGGUGAAUCUCAUCAGGAUAAUUAUUCGCGCACAGGCAUCCGAGGCACGAGCAUCUGCCUCUCCUUCUGUUGACCUCCCCCUGCCUCCCCCUCAUUUUUUACUUUCCCAUCCUCCUCUCGAACACACCUUUCACUUCUUUUCCCAUCCUUGUCAUCCUCCUUCUCUCUAACUCUUCUCCUCUCCUUAUGCUCAAGCCCAUUUCUUUGUUAACUAGAGCAUCUCUCCCAUUUAUUAGCCAUUUCACAGUCUUUGCAAAUUACAAACGUAUUCUACAUAAAGGGGGGAAGAAGUGAUGCAAGGGGGGGUGGACAGGUGACAGGCAGAAAAGCACAGAUUUGCAGAGAAUAUUAUAGAAAAUAUGCCUCAAAGAAUAAGGGGGAAUAUGGACAUUUUUGAUCGGUUAUACCAAAAAUGUUGCAAUCAGAUACUCAUUCAAGCCGUGCUUGUAGGGCUGCACAAUAAAUCGAAUAUUAAUCACAAUGAAGAUUUUGGCUUCCCACAA